AUGGUGAUGCCCACUGUUCUCAACUCCCUAACUUUUUUAUGUGUGCUUGCAGUUCUUGCUGCAGGUCGGGCUGAAGGGCGGCAUCAUGACUCUGAUUGUCCUUCUUUCUCGUGCGGCCCUCUUGGAAAUGUAUUGUCCCCAUUUCGUCAGGCAAGUGAUCCGCCUGGCUGCGGCUAUCGAUCUUACGAGCUGGUUUGCAGUGAUACCAAGGCUAUGAUUCACAUCGGUGAUGCAACAUACUAUGUGUCUGCCAUCAACUACAGUGGUUCUUCCUUCUGGGUCAUCGAUGCCAACAUGGAUUUACACAACAACUGCCCUCUACCUCGGUGGAAUCCUCCAUACCAACCCGACAACAUGGAAAUCGAAUUGAGCCCCCUUGUACAUAGUGGGGCUUGCUUUGUAAAAUGCUCUCAGGAAGUAAAGGGCACUGGUACGUACAUGCCUGUUGCUUGCCUAAGCACCAACGAUUCUUUUGUUUACGUGUUAACUGGCUAUGGGUCUACAUAUAUGGAGUACCUUGAACCUUCUUGUGGGUACUUGGCCCGGACUCCUCGACCCUGGGACGGUCUGGGGCUAGAAAAUGCAAGUUAUGCAGAUGUUGUAAAAUCCAUGAGGAUUGGAUUUGCUGUUCGGUUUCCUUAUCCUAGGGAGAGCAUCAAGCAAUGCCUAAUACAGACUUUUUGGCCCUUCUAUGAGGUACCAGUCUUGAGUAAAGAAGGCAUCAAGUUACGUAUUCUAUUCAGUCUUGUGGGUGAUUCAUUUUUCUCGCGGUGCGCACUAGUUGAUGUCAUUGGAUUUCCACCAUUUCGAGGUGUAGUCAUAAUAAUCGUCUUCUGGAUUUGGAAGUGGCUGGCUGUGUUGUGCAGGUUCGUGUUGGCGCCGCUUGUUGUGUUGAUUUUCCUAGCCUACAAGUACUGGAAAACAAGAAUAACAAUCGAUGCAGUCGAGAAGUUCCUCCGUAUGCAGCAAAUGCUCGGUCCGACGAGGUACGCCUACACCGACAUCACUGCAAUCACAAGCCAUUUCAGAGAUAAGCUGGGUCAGGGAGGCUAUGGCUCCGUGUUCAAGGGUGUGUUAUCACCAGGCAAUGUCCAUGUCGCGGUCAAGAUGCUGGAGCGUAGCUCAAACUGCGAUGGAGAGGAUUUCAUCAGUGAAGUUGCCACCAUUGGCAGGAUCCACCACGUCAAUGUGGUGCGUCUCAUGGGGUUCUGCUCGGAGGAGAUGAGGAGGGCUCUUGUCUAUGAGUACAUGGCUCGAGGUUCUCUUGACAAGUACAUCUUCUCAGCUAAAAGUUUCUCCUGGGACAAGCUCAUAGAGAUUGCUUUGGGCAUUGCCAGGGGGAUCGACUACCUUCAUCAAGGGUGUGAGAUGCAGAUUCUACAUUUUGACAUCAAGCCACACAACAUCCUGCUUGAUAGCAAUUUUGUCCCAAAACUUGCUGAUUUUGGUCUCGCCAAGCUGUACCCAAGAAACAACAGUUUCGUAUCAUUGAGCGUCCUGCGCGGAACAAUUGGGUACAUAGCUCCUGAGAUGAUAUCUAGGAGCUUUGGCGUCAUAUCGAGCAAGUCUGAUGUUUACAGCUUUGGGAUGCUGCUGCUGGAGAUGGCCAGUGGAAGAAGGAAUGCCGACCCAAAUGUGGCGAAUUCAAGCCAGUCUUACUACCCGUCAUGGGUGUAUGACAGACUAACUGAACAAGAGGGGCGUGAUAUAUCUCCCAUUGACAACAUGCAUGAGUUGGAGAAGAAGCUGUGCAUGGUCGGACUAUGGUGCAUCCAGAUGAAGUCCCAUGACCGUCCAACGAUGAGUGAGGUUAUAGACAUGUUGGAAGGCGGUGCCGAUACCUUGCAGAUGCCUUCCAGGCCAUUCUUCUGUGACGAGGGGCUCGUCCAUACCAAUGAUACUUAUCAUUUGUCCUCCGAGUUGACCGAAAUCUCUGAGGAGGAUAUGAGUGAAAAUAUCGAUGUGUGA
rnacentral:rRNA from 1 species